rnacentral:tRNA from 1 species
AGAGAUUUGUCCCUUAUAGGACAAUCGCAAUUACGACAUAAGGAGCCUUUUUACAAAUAAGAAGUAAUGAGCUUCUUUUGGUCUUAAUUCCUGUCAAUUUAAUAAUAUUAAAGAGAAGCAAGAUAAAAGAGACAAGAAACAAGACAUUGGUCUUGACUCUUGGUUCAAAAAGUCUUGAGUCUUAAGAAACAGUCUCAUAGCUCAGCUGGUUAGAGCGCUACACUGAUAAUGUAGAGGUCGGCAGUUCGAGUCUGCCUGAGACUACUGAAAGUAGGCGAAGGAAGAUGAGAAGUUUAUCCUGAGUAAAGCACGGUAGUGCUGCAUCGAAGGGAGUCUGCCUGAGACUACGGAUAAAAAGUAUACUGUAUAUUGUAAAAAGUAUACUGUAUAGAAGUUCAUUAAAAUACUAAAGGAAAUUUUAGGGGUUGAGUAGCCGUUAUAAGCACUGUUAACUGGUAACUGUUAACUGAUCACUAAAAGACGGGGGAUUAGCUCAGCUGGCUAGAGCGCCUGCCUUGCACGCAGGAGGUCAUCGGUUCGACUCCGAUAUUCUCCACCACAGCCCCCCGACCCCCAAAGGGGGAGGGUUUAAAGCUUAGUUCCCCCUUUGGGGGCUAGGGGGCCGAAAGUUCAUUGACAUAUUGAAGAAUAAGAAUACGAGAAACAUAAAAAUUUCUAUGAUAGCAAUAUUAUAGAUAGAGCAAAUUAUAUAAUUAAGAGCGUAUUAGGUAAAAGCAC